rnacentral:rRNA from 1 species
GACGAACGCUGGCGGCGUGCUUAACACAUGCAAGUCGAACGGAAAGGCCCUGCUUUUGUGGGGUGUUCGAGUGGCGAACGGGUGAGUAACACGUGAGUAACCUGCCCUUGACUUUGGGAUAACUUCAGGAAACUGGGGCUAAUACCGGAUAGGAGCUCCUGCUGCAUGGUGGGGGUUGGAAAGUUUCGGCGGUUGGGGAUGGACUCGCGGCUUAUCAGCUUGUUGGUGGGGUAGUGGCUUACCAAGGCUUUGACGGGUAGCCGGCCUGAGAGGGUGACCGGCCACAUUGGGACUGAGAUACGGCCCAGACUCAUACGGGAGGCAGCAGUGGGGAAUAUUGCACAAUGGGCGGAAGCCUGAUGCAGCAACGCCGCGUGCGGGAUGACGGCCUUCGGGUUGUAAACCGCUUUCGCCUGUGACGAAGCGUGAGUGACGGUAAUGGGUAAAGAAGCACCGGCUAACUACGUG